GUGCUCACUUCAUCAACACAUAUACUAAAAUUGAAAUUAUACAGAAAAGAUUCAUGUGGUCCUUGUGAAAGGAUGACACACAAAUUUGUGAAACAUUUCAAAUUUUU
ensembl:snRNA U6 U6 spliceosomal RNA